GCUUUUUUGUUAUAAUAAUGGAGUAGAGUUUAUGAACGGUAGCUUUGAUUGGAGGUGGUGCUUAUGAUUAUUUCGUGGGCAAAACCUCACAAAACAUGAAAGGCGAAAAUUUUUUGACUGUAUUUCAGGCAUUGAGUCUCAUGAUUGCAUUUGCAACUUUGAUGAUUCUUGUCAUUAAUACGAG
rnacentral:sRNA from 1 species